rfam:Pseudomonadales bacterium RIFCSPHIGHO2_02_FTLL_60_43 rifcsphigho2_02_scaffold_64265, whole genome shotgun sequence.
ACACCCGUUUUAUUGCUGUUAUGGGUUUCGACCGAGCUUAGCCUUGUUCAUUUUUUUUCACAAUAGUCAUGUAAAAAAUUGAACACACCCGACUGAGCACCCCGGCAGGCAAGGCUUUGAGGAGGGCUGCACUGCUCUGUAAUGCCCUAAAACUGGCCAUCGAGCACCCUUUUGGGGCAA